rnacentral:misc_RNA from 1 species
GAUGUAGAACGUAGCGAAAUGCGAUAAGUAAUGUGAAUUGCAGAAUUCAGUGAAUCAUCGAAUCUUUGAACGCACAUUGCGCCCCUUGGUAUUCCGAGGGGCAUGCCCGUUCGAGCGUCAUUAUACCCCUCAAGCCUAGCUUGGUGUUGGGGCCUGCUGUUACCGGCAGCCCUUAAAAUCAGUGGCGGUGCCAUCUGGCUCUAAGCGUAGUAAUACUUCUCGCUACAGGGUCCCGGUGGAUGCUUGCCAUCAACCCCUAAUUUUCUAUGGUUGACCUCGGAUCGGGUAGGGAUACCCGCUGAACUUAAGCAUAUCAAUAAGCGGAGGA